AUGUGCCGGGCCCGGGGCAGCGCCCUCAGCGCCGCCGCUCCCGCGCUGACCCCUGGUGGCCGCCGGGGGAACGGCGGGUCCCCGAGCCUGGGGGGUGUGAGGGGAAGGCCCCGGUGCUGGGAUGGCUUCCUGCGCUUUUAAUUAAUAAAUAGACUGAGCCGCUCUUAAAGAAGGUAUUAAGCCAUUAGAGAGCGUCCAAAGGAGGGCAGCGAAGAUGGUGGAGGGCCUCGAGGGGCGGCUGAGGGCACUUGCAAAAGAAAUCACAGUUUCCUCGGGGAGGGAGUCACCUGCAAAGCCUGAUGACAGAGAAACAGAAUAACAGCAUGAAGCUGAAAUGAAAGAUUUAGCACAAAGCAGCAGAAGCCAAGGCAGCCACUGCAAAGGCACUCGGGCUCUGCCCCAUCAAUCUGGAUCUGCAGGAGCACUGGACUGUGUGAACUUCUAACGGCGUGUUAGAAAUGGACCUCACACAGUUCUGACCACACUCCCAAGGCCAAGAGGAAUUCAGAUCCAACAGGAUAGGAAGAAGAUAAUUAUCCAACAAAAGGAUUCAUUCCUACAGCAUUGAGCGAUUAAAAAGUUCAGAGAUUUUUCCUUUUCCCCUUCUUCCACAUUUAGAAGAGGAUUCCCAAGAGACCACGGAGCCCAGAGUUAUCUGCAGGAAUCCUGGUUUUAAAAUCAGAACUCAAAUAUGCUGGUG